UGUGGAUCCAAGUGGAGGGAUCACAUUUUAGUCAUUCAGUGAUUCAAAGAAUAUGAAUUUUAAUAUUCAUUCAGAUGUUUCUGACUCUAAAUUUUCUUUCUCAUUCUUAGGUUUUUCUAAUUUACAUUUAAAACAUUUCAGCUAUUUUCCAACUUCUUCUCUGUGCUUGUCAGCUUUUAGCAGUUCAGCACUUUUGUUUUCAGGUGAAAAUUCUGUAUUUUUCAUCUCAUUCAACAUUUUAACUUAAAAAUUCAGCAAUUAAUUCAUUUCAGUGCAUACAUUCAGAUUCAAGCAUUCACACUGCAGUUUCUUCAGAAAAUGCACUUUCUAGUUAUCUAUUCCGUACGUUUUUUGUACUCUUACUCCUUCAAAACCGUUCAACUUAGAAAAACCAUUCAAACACCAUUAGAUUCCUCUUCUUUUGGACAUGACUGCUUCUAUUUUCUCAUUUUAACAUUUAUAUUUUUAUUUAUUCAACUUUUUUCAACAAAAAUUUCCCAUGUAUUUCAAUGGGGAGACCCUUCAAAUCCUCAUUCAAUUACUCAUUUUCAAACUGUAUCUACUUCACAUAUUGACAUAGAGCCACCAUUCAAACUUUAAAACGAAGACAAGACAUUCAACUAUUCAACUUGUAUUUAUCUUUUCAAUAUCUUUAUACUUUUCUUCAGUUCCAGUUUAAGUUUCAUGAUGUUUUUUCAGCCGUUUCAGAGUUUAUAAUGGGUGUGUAUGGGACGGAAUGUUGGGGCUAGAGUGAGAAGGCUCAACUGCUAGAGUGAGAGGAGCGAAAAAAUUAAUCUUAAAUAUUUUUUAAAACUGCUGCUGUGUCCACGUGUUUGUCUACAGGUAUGAUUUUACCCUCAAAACGUAGCCAUCGCUGUCCUCUUUCAUCCAAUGUGUUUACUAUUGUCUAGGUGUUAUGGUUCUUUCAUAAAUGUCACCAAAGCACAGCCUCCUCCCUCCAACUCCUCCAUAGACUCUAAUGUUAAAAUGGCUCAGAAGGUUCGUUUGAAAUCAGAAGAGCAUGGUGUUUUUACACUGUCACCACGUCCAUAUAAUAAACUCCACAGGCAUGAAAACUGAGAAUUAGGUAGACUGGACAUUGCUGCCGCUCACGGUGAAGAAUUUGUCAAUAGACUUAUACUU
rnacentral:lncRNA from 1 species